GGGUACUGUCGGGGGCAUAAAUUGAAGAGCUCAGGAGACUAUUAAAACUCAGCUACCUCCCAGAUUCUCACAGUGCCAUCAAGCUCGGUCCUGCUGCACUGGCUGCUCAUGCUGGGUUGAGUUUGAGGAAAAAUUACACAACUGAGCCUUUGGAUGAAGUCUAAACCUCCAUCUAUG
rnacentral:lncRNA from 12 species